CGAGGCGCUGCUCGAGACGGGCGCCGCCAACGUCGGUGGGCUCAUGGUCCCCGUGGGCACCACGCCGUUCGAGGAGGCCGUCGCGC
rnacentral:tRNA from 1 species